AGCCACUGCUAUUGGGAUCCGACUAAGCCAUGCGAGUCGAGAGGGUUCGGCCCUCGGCAGACUGCUCAGUAACACGUGGAUAACCUAACCUUAGGUGGAAGAUAACCUCGGGAAACUGAGAAUAAUAUUCCAUAGAUCUAGGAUGCUGGAAUGCAUCUAGAUUGAAAGUUCCGACGCCUAAGGAUGGGUCUGCGGACUAUCAGGUUGUAGUCAGGGUAAAGACCUGACUAGCCUACGACGGAUAUGGGUUGUGAGAGCAAUAGCCCAGAGACGAUAUCUGAGACACGAUAUCGGGCCCUACGGGGCGCAGCAGGCGCGAAAUCUUCACAAUGUGCGAAAGCACGAUGAGGGGAUCCCAAGUGCUGGCACGUAAGUGUCAGCUGUUUCUUAGUCUAAAAAACUGAGAGAGUAAGGGCUGGGUAAGACGGGUGCCAGCCGCCGCGGUAAUACCUGCAGCUCAAGUGGUGGCCGCUAUUAUUGGGCCUAAAACGUCCGUAGCCUGUUUAGUAAAUGCUUGGGUAAAUUGUGUAGCUUAACUAUACGAAUACCGAGUAGACUGCUAAACUUGGGACCGGGAGAGGCUAGAGGUACUCCUGGGGUAGAGGUGAAAUUCUGUAAUCCUAGGGGGACCACCAGUGGCGAAGGCGUCUAGCUAGAACGGGUCUGACGGUGAGGGACGAAGCCCUGGGGCGCAAACCGGAUUAGAUACCCGGGUAGUCCAGGGUGUAAACGCUGCUUGCUGAUGGUUAGUUGGGCUCCGAGCCCAACUAGUGUCGGAGAGAAGUUGUUAAGCAAGCUGCCUGGGAAGUACGGUCGCAAGACUGAACUUAAAGGAAUUGGCGGGGGAGCACAGCAACGGGUGGAGCGUGCGGUUU
rnacentral:rRNA from 1 species